rnacentral:lncRNA from 1 species
AUAAACACACAAGUUCGGUCACGAAACUAAGACAAAAUAUGUCUUUUUGAUUCAUAUACGUUUAUAAACGUCAAUAUGUGUACCAAUUUUAUGGUGGUUCAAGAGUUAGUGCAUUCAUUAAGGUUUAGAAUCCCAUAGUUCAAAUUAUACUAGAAGUUACAAUCAUGGUUGGCCACAAUGAACGCCUUAAAUGACAAGAAUAUAGAAUUUCCACAAGUUUGGAAUAUUAGUAUGAAUUUGGUGUAGAUUCUCUGAUAAAAAAUAAGAAAAGAAAUGUAAAUGUUUAUGAAUGUGAAAGAGAGAACAGACCUUGAAGGCCAAGCUUAGAAAGCAUGAGUCGUCCUCCAGGUUGCAUAAACUCACCCAUCAUUCUCUCUGGUUCUCUCAUGUCCCUCUCUAUCACAUGUACUCGACGCCCGUCCUAUUAAUCAAAAAUUAGUUAGCAUAAGGUUGUUCGUCCCAACCCAAAAUAUUGCUGUAAAAUUAUUAUGCAAAAGCGUAUCGAGGAUCACUCUGAAAACAUGAUUUUGUACAAAAAAAAAAAAAAUCUCUAGUCGUCAAUUUUUACAAUUUUACUUUUUAUCUCUAGAAACUACAAAUCAAUCAUACAAAAUAAAAUAAAAAUAUGCUUUAUAAGUCUAGUAUAUAUCUUUAAAAUGUUUUCACAGUCACACACAUUAAAUUUUUAAAUUCUUCAAAUAGAUUUUGGAUUGGACUCCGUAAGAACUUUAAUUUGAUACAUUAUAAAUAGUAUCUUACAAACUUGGCCGUAAUAAAGAAAGAUUAUAAUUAACAGUAGUAUUUUCUUAUUUAAAAAAUUGACUACUCGGAAGAUUGUUGUCACAACCCAAAAUAUGGCAACAGAAAUAUAUUAUGCAAAAUAACAAUAAUCAUAGUGUAUAUAGUUAUUAUCUUAUUCAUUCAUGCACAUUUAUUAAACAAGAAAACAACAAUCAAGUUAAAUACCUUAGCAAGAGCAUAUGCGAGAGCCGAGCCGCCGACACCAGCUCCAACGAUGAUGACAUCGGCAGCACCGUCUCUUCUCUUCUCUGCUGUCGCAUCCGCCAUCUCCACGGUCGGCUUCUUUUUCUUGUUUGUAAAGUAGAACACAGUCCACGUUAUAGGGAAGACGAGUAAUGUCCAUAAACAAAUGUGCGUAAAAGCCAUAUCCAUAUCUAUCAGACUAUAACUAUGAUAUAUGAGCUUGCUUCUUAGAAUGGUUUUAGAUUAUAUAAUGCAAAGAUACGUCAGUUUGGACGUGGCGUCACCACAUGUUAACUUUUGAUAUAUAUCGAUAUUGUUUGAAAGCAAUAAAUUGAAAUGUUCUGUUGUCCACACAACUGUAAUGAUUUAUGAGCUGUCUACGUUGGAGUUUACAAACGAUAUUUAUAUUUCAGAUACAAACACAAAGCCACGGGCCACCCUAGUUAAUGAUUUUGUUAGUAUAUAGAGCAAGCGACUUCAAUGUAGCAUUCAAAUUAUUGAUACCUUUGAUACUGUUGAGUGACUAAUUAAAAAAUAGUAACGCUACAUGUAGCAAUCAGUCCACAACAUCGGCAAAGAUAAAAUAAAACAAUUAAUUUCCUCCAUCUUUUAUUUAUGGCUGAGAGACAUCAAAGAAAAAUCUGGAAACAUCGAACCACCCUUGAGUAAUUUAACUGAAAUGAUAUCUUAUACAUAUAUGUAUUCAUAUAUUUAGUGUUAUAUAUACAUAACUUUAUAAUAUAAGUACCUUUAUACAGAAUGAUAUGUUUGAACGCGGAAUGAUUAAAUCAUUGACAACCCAAAGUCAAACCUAUAAGAUAAUCUUUUUUGAUUUUCGAAAUGUGUUCAUAAAAAGUUUAACAUAAUGGAAUAUAUAUAUAAAACUAAUUAAGCAUUAUAGUGCAGUUUAAUUUUCGAGUUGCAUGUGUGUUAUAAGUUAUAAAAUAGUUUAAAACUAAAAGUAACCUUCCAACAUACAAAAGUUUUUUAAUAAACUAAAAAUUAGUCUUAAGAUAAAUUAGUAUAAGAAUUAUGCGGAGAUGAUAGAUUAAUCUUUGAUUGUAAUGCUUCUUUAAUUUGUUUUGCACGUGUUUUAUAUACACGAUGUUACAAACAAAUAUACAGGGAAAUAAAAGUAACAUAUAUUCCUAUACUCCCCCAAACUCUUCCAUACAGUAAACAUACAUGUUUUACAUCUUACAUGUUUUUAAUUUUUUGUUUUUUGGGACAAAACAAAACAUCUUGCAUGUAUACUAUAUAGAAAUAGGUACACACUAUUAUUUAUGAGAAAUCACAUAAUAUUCCACCAACUAUAUUUAGUCAUUUCUAUAAUUGGAUCUUUUUUUUGUCAACAAUUGGACUUGUUUUCUCUGGGUAUAAAUUUAAUAGAGUACACAAAAACAGAGCAUUUAAAAAAAAAGGAGAUUAAUACUCUUUUUCUUUCUUUCUUGAAAACUUAAUCUUAGUACUUCUUCUGUUUCACAAAAAGUGGUUAUUCUAGAUUUUAUUUUUGUUUAAUAAAAAAUGUUAUUUUAUAUUGUCAACGCAUCUUUUACACUAAAAUCCUAAUUUUACCUUUAAUUUAAAAUUCAUAAAACUAUUAAAUAGAGGCAUAUUAAAGACUCGUCUAAUAGUAUAUUCUUUGCAAAAUUAUGGCUCUAGAUGGACAAUUUAACGCAAUUAAAGACUCGUCUAAUACAGUAGGUGGAUCUAGGCAUUACCAAUUAAUGCGAUGCUUCGAAGAUGCACAAUCACUAAAGAUUGGUGUUCAAUGUUCUUAUUAAACUGCAUUACAGUUUUGACAAAUGCACAAUCACUAAGAUUGGUGUUCAAUGUUCUUAUUAAACUGCAUUACAAUUUUGACAAAUGCACAAUCACUAAGAUUGGUGCUCAAUAUAUGCCUCAAUGUUUAGAGAGCAGUUGCUGCGGCCAUAUAUCUUUUGCGAUACGCGGCUGCAUUUGCUGGAAACAACAUAUGGGUAACUCCUUCAGCCUUGAGAUGGGGAACCAACAUUUUCAUAGCCAACUAGUGAUUCACACAGAACAUACAUCAACAAAAUAUAUAUAUGUAUAUAAUGUCGAAUAGUGAUUGUAAACUAAAAAAGAGUGUUACUAAAAAUAUACAUAUUAUAGAAAUAAUAUGAUAUAAAAAGAGAUGAAAUUAAUGACUUACACCAAAAAGCCUAAGGCUAUGCCAAAUGCGAAGGGGAGAGGGAAAUGGAGAGAGCAGAUGGGCAGUGGAGGAUAAAGUGAUAGCACAAAGAUGAUAGAUGAGAGAGAGCGGACGAGGAUUCAUGCCGCCGAGCAAAGCCAUCAUCCCUGACGUGCGAAACCCGCCACUAGUGAGGUAAUCAUAGCAACCUUGUCUCAUUGCCUCUUUGGCUUCGUCCGUUGAUGCAACUAGUGCUUGAGAAAAUGCGUUUCCUAAUAUGUUCACUGUCGCUGACAUUGGCUUCACCAUACAAAAACAUUCAUUUUUAAGUAUAAUUAUGUGAAGUUGGUAACAAGUUUAGAAAUUUGGAAUUUUCAUAUAUUAAUUAGUAUGUGACGUAGGCUCACCUUGCGGAUACUAUAAAAGGACUUAAUGAUUAUACGAAGUUUUGGAGGUACCUGCAAAAUAAGUCUAAGAUUAUAAUGUCAAACGUAUAUAGAGUUAUAUAUGGGACUUCUUACAAAUGUUAGAAUGGUGUCUAUGUACUAGUAUAACAUAUUAUAUAUUUCUAUGUUUAGUUCUUUCUUUUUCUUUUUAUUGAUCAAAGAUGAAUCAGCCCAUUGCGUUCGUACCUGAGGAGCUAUAUUGUUCUUCAUGAAAGUUUCCAUCUCGCCGUUUGCAAUAGAAGGAAAAUUGUCGGGGAAAAGCUCAAACCCACAACGAACCUCAGUGCUGCUUAUUUGAUACAACAUGGCGAACGAGGGUUUACACAAUACCAAGUGCAAGUUUUCGGGUUCCUCAAGCUGACAAUUAUUUGAGAUGUAACCUACUAGGUAAGAUAAAACCUCCUCCUAUAUCAAAUUAUUUAGUACAUUGAUGCUUAUUAAGUGAAUCAGUGUACCAUAUAUAUAGUGAGUACCAUCAUCUCAACGAUUUGAGUAAUGGAGAAGUUUGAAGUCUUUUCGUUUAAAAGAGUAUACUUACAUUGUUGUCGCUAAGAGAACGACGAAGGUUUGAGUAGCAACCAUCGCAUACCACAGUAAGAGGUGCAAAGGCUGUUGUUUCUUCGCCUUCUUUAUUUUUGUAUGUCACUCCUUUGAUAACUCCUUUUUCUUCUAUCAAAGACUUCACCGUUCCUUCUUCGAGCCUCACACUGCCAAUUAGUAAGAGGAUAAUCAAAGCUUACUAAUUAACGAUUUCUAGUUGGAUUUUGUAUAUAUAUUUUAGGUAAUAGAAAAUAGAAUAUGAUGAUGAAAUUUAUCGAUUUAGACCCACAUGCUAUGGCAAAUAAUAGAUUAUCAGAUUCUCAUGAUGUAGCUUACCAGAUCAGGGGAACAUUCUGGUUUCGUUUUAAAUUAUGUGUAACACACGAUUUAUAUGUUAAUACAAGUUAGUGAGUUUUAGAUUAUUUUUCCUUUUAUUUUUGUUAAGAGUUCUUCGUCAACCCCAAGUCAAAGAAAAAUUGGGUCAAGGAAAAAUUGAGUCUUUACCAAGCCAUUUUGUUUAGUUUUUUGCUUUGUGUAAAUCAAUAAAAACCAAAAAGUAUUAUAUCGGUGAGAUAUAUUUUUUUUUCUCUAGGACAUUUUUAAUAGGAGAGUAUUUUAGAGCAAUGUUUUCUUUAAUGGAGAAAAUAUAAGAUAUUUUAUUAAUGAAAAUAUUGCUCUAAAAUACCCCCUUAAAAUGGUCUUAUACCAGUUCUAUGGUGAGAUCUUAAAACGUUUAUCUGUUAAAAAAAUAGAAAAAAGGGAGAUACACAAAAAAUGUUCUCAAACAAAACACUAUUAUAGUUUUCAUCUCUAGGUUACUUUGGUUCUCCAUCAGAUUUAAUGAAUAAUAACAAAAUUUCUCAACACAUAUAUAUGAUAUAUAGUGUCAAAAUUUAGUGAACAUAAUAUAUAGAGACGUACUUGGGAAGAGAUGAAGCCUUUUGGCGUAGACGUUGGACGAAUCGGCCAUUGUGAAAUAUUCGAGCAGAAGGUUCAUAAGAAAAGUUGUUACUUUCCACCGGAAAAGGUGCCACUGCCUCUUUGCCAUCUUUAUAAACUGCAAACCCGGUGGCUCUCUGUGCAUCUAUUCCCUCUAAACAAUCUAUAUAUACGUAUAUAAACCCACAAAGUUGAUCAUGAUUAACUAAAUGACAAUAUGGCUUUCUUGAUUUACUUACAUAAAGGAAAGAGAAAGAGAGAACAGACCUUGAAGCCCAAGCUUAAAAAGCAUGAGUCGUCCUCCAGGCUGCAUAAACUCACCCAUCAUUCUCUCUGGUUCUUUCAUGUCCCUCUCUAUCACAUGUACUCGACGCCCG